GUGCCAGCCGCCGCGGUAAUACGUAGGGUGCGAGCGUUAAUCGGAAUUACUGGGCGUAAAGCGUGCGCAGGCGGUUUUGUAAGACAGGCGUGAAAUCCCCGGGCUCAACCUGGGAAUGGCGCUUGUGACUGCAAGGCUGGAGUGCGGCAGAGGGGGAUGGAAUUCCGCGUGUAGCAGUGAAAUGCGUAGAUAUGCGGAGGAACACCGAUGGCGAAGGCAAUCCCCUGGGCCUGCACUGACGCUCAUGCACGAAAGCGUGGGGAGCAAACAGGAUUAGAUACCCCGGUAGUCCG
rnacentral:rRNA from 1 species